AACGAACGCUGGCGGCAUGCCUAACACAUGCAAGUCGAACGAGACCUUCGGGUCUAGUUGCGCACGGGUGCGUAACGCGUGGGAACCUGCCCUUAGGUUCGGAAUAACUCCCCGAAAGGGGUGCUAAUACCGGAUAAUGUCUUCGGACCAAAGAUUUAUCGCCUUUGGAUGGGCCCGCGUUGGAUUAGCUAGUUGGUAGGGUAAAAGCCUACCAAGGCGACGAUCCAUAGCUGGUCUGAGAGGAUGAUCAGCCACACUGGGACUGAGACACGGCCCAGACUCCUACGGGAGGGAGCAGUAGGGAAUAUUGGACAAUGGGCGAAAGCCUGAUCCAGCAAUGCCGCGUGAGUGAUGAAGGCCUUAGGGUUGUAAAGCUCUUUUACCCGGGAUGAUAAUGACAGUACCGGGAGAAUAAGCACCGGCUAACUCCGUG
rnacentral:rRNA from 1 species